GCCCUGGUAGCUUAAUUUGGAUUGAGCACAACGUUGCGGACGUUGAGGUUGCGGGUUCGAGUCCCGCCCAGGGCG
rnacentral:tRNA from 1 species